GACGAACGCUGGCGGCGUGCUUAACACAUGCAAGUCGAACGAAGUGGCGAACGGGUGAGUAAUACGUGGGUAACCUGCCCUCCUUUUUGGGAUAAGCCUUGGAAACGGGGUCUAAUACCGCAUAAAGGGGGAUGUGCUCGCGGCCUAUCAGCUUGUUGGUGGGGUGAUGGCCUACCAAGGCGGUGACGGGUAGCCGGCCUGAGAGGGUGACCGGCCACAUUGGGACUGAGAUACGGCCCAGACUCCUACGGGAGGCAGCAGUGGGGGAUAUUGCACAAUGGGCGAAAGCCUGAUACAGCGACGCCGCGUGGGGGAUGAAGGCCUUAGGGUUGUAAAGUACUUUCAGCGGGGAGGCGUUACCCGCAGAAGAAGCACCGGCUAACUCCGUGCCAGCCGCCGCGGUAAUUC
rnacentral:rRNA from 1 species